GGCGAGAGAGAGAGAGAGAGAGAGAGAGAGAGAGAGAGAGAGAGAGAGAGAGUGAUGUGUAUCUCUGAAAU
rnacentral:sRNA from 1 species